UCGUAAUCUCUAUCUGGUUCUCUCCAUCUUGGCUCAAAGCUCUCGAUCAGUCCGAUUUGAAGAUUAAUUUUAGUCACAGAACCACCAUCACAACCAUACUGUGUCAAUCUUUGCAGCAGCAAUGUCUCUCUUCCUCACAAUGGGUUUUGUGCACCACAGACACCUGAUUUCGACUCUGUGCUGUUUUUGGAGCAACAAAGUUGUGGCAGCUGCAAAAAGUCCUGGAUGCAUGCAAGAUGGAGCUUAAUCCUGAAAUCAUUGCAGAUAUUGACAAGCAUUUGUCGCUAGUUCAUGGAGGCUAAUGUUGACUGAGCAUUGUCUGGAGUUUGCUUGAUGGUCUAACCAGCAGCAUAUAUGGAGUCAAAUGUUGAUUGAGGCUCUCUCUGUGAUUCUUGGAAGUUUCUGUUGAAUAGCAUGUAAAAGAGAGAACGCUGUCAUCUAGAACGCGAAGCUACUAUGGCAAAGGGAUCUGAAUCAACCUAAAUGGAUCUCCCCAUGUUAAGAGAUAGUUAAUGCCCAGAUUUUGGCUUCCACGUUCAAGCGGGCCCUUUUGCAUUUGCUCUUACGCUCAAGCGGGCAGUCUAACGCUCGAGCGGGAUUCUUCAGCCUUCAGUAUUUUUCCUGCAGGUCAUCGGACGGUCGAGCGUCCACUUUAACGCUCGAGCGGGGCCCUUCGUCUGCAGAACUUCUGGAAGUGUGCAUUCCACGCUCGAGCGACGCUUUUCACGCUCGAACGGGAGUCUGUGUCUGACGCUCGAGCGGGGCGUCCCACACUGGAGCGGACUGUGAUGUAUUUUAGUUCGAGAAGAAGCUUUUUGAAUCACUUUUUCGGGCCACUCUCUCUCUCUAGCAUUUUAAAACCCUCAUUUGAGAGCUUCUCUCUCUAGAAUACUCUCUCUCUACAUUUUGAGCUAGAUCUAGUGAUCUCCUCACCCUUUUCCUUUUGAUAAAAAGCUUGAGCUUCGUGUGGGCUCCAUUUUGAUCCGAAAAGUUAUGGGUUUGGAGUACUUUCGAGUUUCAUCAUCUCCUUUGGGUCUCUUCACUUGAGGUACAGAUGAGAUGCCGCCUCCAAGAGUGUAGCUUAGGAGGUUUAGAAGCUGAAGGCUUAUUUUGUAGUUAUCCUUGUAUUACAUGUAAAUCAAGCCAAGGGCUUAAUAUGUUUAGAGUUAGAACUCUCUUUUGUUGAAUCCAAGUGUUGACUUGGAAAGUUGUAAGCCCGUAGGGCAUUUACUUUU